rnacentral:rRNA from 1 species
UACGAAGGGGGCUAGCGUUGUUCGGAAUCACUGGGCGUAAAGGGCGCGUAGGCGGCUUUGUAAGUCGGGGGUGAAAGCCUGUGGCUCAACCACAGAAUUGCCUUCGAUACUGCAUGGCUUGAGACCGGAAGAGGUAAGUGGAAUUCCCAGUGUAGAGGUGAAAUUCGUAGAUAUUGGGAAGAACACCGGUGGCGAAGGCGGCUCACUGGCUCGUAACUGACGCUCAUGCACGACAGCGUGGGGAUCAAACAGG